rnacentral:rRNA from 1 species
AGUCGAACGGUAACAGGUCUUCGGACGCUGACGAGUGGCGAACGGGUGAGUAAUACAUCGGAACGUGCCCAGUCGUGGGGGAUAACUACUCGAAAGAGUAGCUAAUACCGCAUACGAUCUGAGGAUGAAAGCGGGGGACCUUCGGGCCUCGCGCGAUUGGAGCGGCCGAUGGCAGAUUAGGUAGUUGGUGGGAUAAAAGCUUACCAAGCCGACGAUCUGUAGCUGGUCUGAGAGGACGACCAGCCACACUGGGACUGAGACACGGCCCAGACUCCUACGGGAGGCAGCAGUGGGGAAUUUUGGACAAUGGGCGAAAGCCUGAUCCAGCAAUGCCGCGUGCAGGAUGAAGGCCUUCGGGUUGUAAACUGCUUUUGUACGGAACGAAAAAGCUUCUCCUAAUACGAGAGGCCCAUGACGGUACCGUAAGAAUAAGCACCGGCUAACUACGUGCCAGCAGCCGCGGUAAUACGUAGGGUGCGAGCGUUAAUCGGAAUUACUGGGCGUAAAGCGUGCGCAGGCGGUUAUGUAAGACAGAUGUGAAAUCCCCGGGCUCAACCUGGGAACUGCAUUUGUGACUGCAUGGCUAGAGUACGGUAGAGGGGGAUGGAAUUCCGCGUGUAGCAGUGAAAUGCGUAGAUAUGCGGAGGAACACCG